CGAAAGCCUGAUCCAGCAAUGCCGCGUGAGUGAUGAAGGCCCUAGGGGUUGUAAAGCUCUUUUACCCCGGGGAUGAUAAUGACAGUACCGGGAGAAUAAGCCCCGGCUAACUCCGUGCCAGCAGCCGCGGUAAUACGGAGGGGGGCUAGCGUUGUUCGGAAUUACUGGGCGUAAAGCGCACGUAGGCGGCGUUUUUAAGUUCAGAGGUGAAAGCCCGGGGCUCAACCCCCGGAAUUGCCUUUGAGACUGGAAAGCUAGAACACGGGAGAGGUGAGUGGAAUUCCGAGUGUAGAGGUGAAAUUCGUAGAUAUUCGGAAGAACACCAGUGGCGAAGGCGGCUCACUGGACCGUUGUUGACGCUGAGGUGCGAAAGCGUGGGGGAGCAAACAGGAUUAGAUACCCUGGUAG
rnacentral:rRNA from 1 species